UACAGAGGCCACAAGCGUUAGACGGAAUCACUGGGCUUAAAGCGUGUGUAGGCGGGAUGGUAAGUACCUUGUGAAAUCCCACAGCUUAACUGUGGAAAUGCUUGGUAUACUGCCGUUCUUGAGUCACCUAGGGGCAGCUGGAACAGAUGGUGGAGCGGUGAAAUGCAUAGAUAUCAUCUGGAACGCCAAUGGUGCAGACAAGCUGCUGGGUGUACUGACGCUGAGGCACGAAAGCCAGGGAGGCAAACGGG
rnacentral:rRNA from 1 species